GUCGAACGGUAGAGGGGGCAACCCCUCGAGAGUGGCGAACGGGUGAGUAAUAUAUCGGAACGUGCCCAGUCGUGGGGGAUAACGUAGCGAAAGUUACGCUAAUACCGCAUACGAUCUAAGGAUGAAAGCGGGGGAUCGCAAGACCUCGCGCGAUUGGAGCGGCCGAUAUCAGAUUAGGUAGUUGGUGGGGUAAAGGCUCACCAAGCCAACGAUCUGUAGCUGGUCUGAGAGGACGACCAGCCACACUGGAACUGAGACACGGUCCAGACUCCUACGGGAGGCAGCAGUGGGGAAUUUUGGACAAUGGACGCAAGUCUGAUCCAGCCAUUCCGCGUGCAGGAUGAAGGCCCUCGGGUUGUAAACUGCUUUUGUACGGAACGAAAAGGUUUCUAUUAAUACUAGGAGCUCAUGACGGUACCGUAAGAAUAAGCACCGGCUAACUACGUGCCAGCAGCCGCGGUAAUACGUAGGGUGCAAGCGUUAAUCGGAAUUACUGGGCGUAAAGCGUGCGCAGGCGGUUAUGUAAGACAGAGGUGAAAUCCCCGGGCUCAACCUGGGAACUGCCUUUGUGACUGCAUAGCUAGAGUACGGUAGAGGGGGAUGGAAUUCCGCGUGUAGCAGUGAAAUGCGUAGAUAUGCGGAGGAACACCGAUGGCGAAGGCAGCCCCCUGGGAUAAUACUGACGCUCAUGCACGAAAGCGUGGGGAGCAAACAGGAUUAGAUACCCUGGUAGUCCACGCCCUAAACGAU
rnacentral:rRNA from 1 species